GAACUGCUAAUUCUUACCCCUGAAGUUAAACUCUUCAGACCCCUCACUUUUAAAGGAUAAAAGAUAAUC
rnacentral:tRNA from 2 species